rnacentral:tRNA from 1 species
ACGGGCGUAGCGCAGUCUGGCAGCGCGUCUGGCCUGGGACCAGAAGGUCGUCGGUUCAAAUCCGACCGUCCGUACCA